rnacentral:rRNA from 1 species
CAAGCGUUGUUCGGAUUUACUGGGCGUAAAGGGCGCGUAGGCGGUAGCACAAGUCAGUUGUGAAAUCUCCGGGCUUAACUCGGAAAGGUCAACUGAUACUGUGCGACUAGAGUGCAGAAGGGGCAACUGGAAUUCUCGGUGUAGCGGUGAAAUGCGUAGAUAUCGAGAGGAACACCUGCGGCGAAGGCGGGUUGCUGGGCUGACACUGACGCUGAGGCGCGAAAGCCAGGGGAGCGAACGGG